rnacentral:rRNA from 1 species
AUUGAACGCUGGCGGCAUGCCUUACACAUGCAAGUCGAACGGCAGCACGGGGCAACCUGGUGGCGAGUGGCGAACGGGUGAGUAAUGCAUCGGAACGUACCUUUCAGUGGGGGAUAACGUAGCGAAAGUUACGCUAGUACCGCAUAUUCUGUGAGCAGGAAAGCAGGGGAUCGCAAGACCUUGCGCUGAUUGAGCGGCCGAUGUCAGAUUAGCUAGUUGGUGAAGUAAAGGCUCACCAAGGCGACGAUCUGUAGCGGGUCUGAGAGGAUGAUCCGCCACACUGGAACUGAGACACGGUCCAGACUCCUACGGGAGGCAGCAGUGGGGAGUUUUGGACAAUGGGGGCAACCCUGAUCCAGCCAUGCCGCGUGAGUGAAGAAGGCCUUCGGGUUGUAAAGCUCUUUCGGCCGGGAAGAAAUCGCACGGGCUAAUACCCUGUGUGGAUGACGGUACCGGAAUAAGAAGCACCGGCUAACUACGUGCCAGCCGCCGCAGUAAGAC